AUUGAACGCUGGCGGCAGGCCUAACACAUGCAAGUCGAACGGCAGCGGGGGGUAGCUUGCUACCCCGCCGGCGAGUGGCGGACGGGUGAGUAAUGCCUGGGGAGCUGCCCAAUCGAGGGGGAUACCAGUUGGAAACGACUGCUAAUACCGCAUACGCCCUGAGGGGGAAAGGUGGGGAUCUUCGGACCUACCGCGAUUGGAUGCACCCAAGUGGGAUUAGCUAGUUGGUGAGGUAACGGCUCACCAAGGCGACGAUCUCUAGCUGGUCUGAGAAGAUGACCAGCCACACGGGAACUGAGACACGGUCCAGACUCCUACGGGAGGCAGCAGUGGGGAAUAUUGCACAAUGGGGGAAACCCUGAUGCAGCCAUGCCGCGUGUGUGAAGAAGGCCUUAGGGUUGUAGAGCACUUUCAGUGGGGAGGAAAGGGUGGAAGCUAAUACCUUUCAUCUGUGACGUUACCCACAGAAGAAGCACCGGCUAACUCCGUGCCAGCAGCCGCAGUAA
rnacentral:rRNA from 1 species